rnacentral:rRNA from 1 species
GAUGAACGCUGGCGGCGUGCCUAAUACAUGCAAGUCGAGCGAACGGACGAGAAGCUUGCUUCUCUGAUGUUAGCGGCGGACGGGUGAGUAACACGUGGAUAACCUACCUAUAAGACUGGGAUAACUUCGGGAAACCGGAGCUAAUACCGGAUAAUAUUUUGAACCGCAUGGUUCAAAAGUGAAAGACGGUCUUGCUGUCACUUAUAGAUGGAUCCGCGCUGCAUUAGCUAGUUGGUAAGGUAACGGCUUACCAAGGCAACGAUGCAUAGCCGACCUGAGAGGGUGAUCGGCCACACUGGAACUGAGACACGGUCCAGACUCCUACGGGAGGCAGCAGUAGGGAAUCUUCCGCAAUGGGCGAAAGCCUGACGGAGCAACGCCGCGUGAGUGAUGAAGGUCUUCGGAUCGUAAAACUCUGUUAUUAGGGAAGAACAUAUGUGUAAGUAACUGUGCACAUCUUGACGGUACCUAAUCAGAAAGCCACGGCUAACUACGUGCCAGCAGCCGCGGUAAUACGUAGGUGGCAAGCGUUAUCCGGAAUUAUUGGGCGUAAAGCGCGCGUAGGCGGUUUUUUAAGUCUGAUGUGAAAGCCCACGGCUCAACCGUGGAGGGUCAUUGGAAACUGGAAAACUUGAGUGCAGAAGAGGAAAGUGGAAUUCCAUGUGUAGCGGUGAAAUGCGCAGAGAUAUGGAGGAACACCAGUGGCGAAGGCGACUUUCUGGUCUGUAACUGACGCUGAUGUGCGAAAGCGUGGGGAUCAAACAGGAUUAGAUACCCUGGUAGUCCACGCCGUAAACGAUGAGUGCUAAGUGUUAGGGGGUUUCCGCCCCUUAGUGCUGCAGCUAACGCAUUAAGCACUCCGCCUGGGGAGUACGACCGCAAGGUUGAAACUCAAAGGAAUUGACGGGGACCCGCACAAGCGGUGGAGCAUGUGGUUUAAUUCGAAGCAACGCGAAGAACCUUACCAAAUCUUGACAUCCUUUGACAACUCUAGAGAUAGAGCCUUCCCCUUCGGGGGACAAAGUGACAGGUGGUGCAUGGUUGUCGUCAGCUCGUGUCGUGAGAUGUUGGGUUAAGUCCCGCAACGAGCGCAACCCUUAAGCUUGGUUGCCAUCAUUAAGUUGGGCACUCUAAGUUGACUGCCGGUGACAAACCGGAGGAAGGUGGGGAUGACGUCAAAUCAUCAUGCCCCUUAUGAUUUGGGCUACACACGUGCUACAAUGGACAAUACAAAGGGCAGCGAAACCGCGAGGUCAAGCAAAUCCCAUAAAGUUGUUCUCAGUUCGGAUUGUAGUCUGCAACUCGACUACAUGAAGCUGGAAUCGCUAGUAAUCGUAGAUCAGCAUGCUACGGUGAAUACGUUCCCGGGUC